rnacentral:lncRNA from 1 species
UCUCCCUCUCUCUCUCAGUCUCUUGAUCUCUCAAGUCUCGACGGUGCCUUUGACCUCUCCCUCCCCUCCUCUCCCGCUCCUUCGAAUGCCCUGCUUCUCCCUCUCCAUCGCAUGAUAUGCUCGUCGGUGGUUGGACCCCGACACCAACAUGGUGGAUGAAGGAGAUCCUCUUUCGCUCUCAGUCUCUCGAUCUCUCUCUCUCUGUCUUUCAAUCUCCCGCUC